GGAUUAGGCAUGCAAGUCGAGCGAGAAAAUCUCCUUUACGGGAGAUGAGUAAAGCGGCGGAAGGGUGAGUAAGGCAUGGAUAACCUGCCCCCAAGACGGGGAUACCACCUGAAAGGGGUGUUAAUACCCGAUAAGACCACGGGUCCUCGGACCCGGGGUUAAAGAUAGCCUCUGACGAAAGUCACGCCUUCACUUGGGGAGGGGUCCAUGUGCUACUAGCUAGUUGGUGGGGUAACGGCCUACCAAGGCUUUGAUGGCUAGCCGACCUGAGAGGGUGACCGGCCACACUGGGACUGAGACACUGCCCAGACUCCUACGGGAGGCUGCAGUCGAGAAUCUUCCGCAAUGCGCGAAAGCGUGACGGAGCGACGCCGCGUGGGCGAUGAAGGCCUUCGGGUUGUAAAGCCCUGUCACGUGGUAAGAACAGCGGGGGGUUAAUAGCCUGCCCGCCUGACGCUACCAUGAGAGGAAGCCCCGGCUAAUUCCGUGCCAGCAGCCGCGGUAAUACGGAAGGGGCCAGCGUUGCUCGGAAUCACUGGGCAUAAAGAGCAUGUAGGCGGGGACGUAAGUCAGGAGUAAAAACCCCCGGCUUAACCGGGGAACGUCUUUUGAAACUGCGUCUCUUGAGUGCGGGAGGGGAGAGUGGAAUUCCCGGUGGAGCGGUGAAAUGCGUAGAUAUCGGGAGGAACGCCGGUGGCGAAAGCGACUCUCUGGCCCGCUACUGACGCUGAGGUGCGAAAGCUAGGGGAGCAAACGGGAUUAGAUACCCCGGUAGUCCUAGCCCUAAACGAUGGGCACUAAGUAGAGGGGUUUU
rnacentral:rRNA from 1 species